AUUGAACGCUGGCGGCAGGCCUAACACAUGCAAGUCGAACGAGUGGCGGACGGGUGAGUAAUGUCUGGGAAACUGCCCGACGGAGGGGGAUAACUACUGGAAACGGUAGCUACUACCGCAUACCAUCGGAUGUGCCCAGAUGGGAUUAGCUAGUAGGUGGGGUAAAGGCUCACCUAGGCGACGAUCCCUAGCUGGUCUGAGAGGAUGACCAGCCACACUGGAACUGAGACACGGUCCAGACUCCUACGGGAGGCAGCAGUAGGGAAUAUUGCGCAAUGGGCGCAAGCCUGAUGCAGCCAUGCCGCGUGUGUGAAGAAGGCCUUCGGGUUGUAAAGCACUUUCGGCGGGGAGGCGUUACCCGCAGAAGAAGCACCGGCUAACUCCGUGCCAGCAGCCGCGGUAAUUC
rnacentral:rRNA from 1 species